CUGUGAUUGGCUGUUGCCGAAAGAGGCGGGGAGGGCUGAUUGGACGGUUUGGUCCGCCAAUCACCAUGGACAAAGGAGGAGCCUGGAAGCAAGCGCCUCUCACGCUCGCGUUUGCAGGUGUUCGAACCUCAAGGCCCCAAGCAUUCCAAGGUGUGCGCCUGCUGGACGACGUGUGAAAGCAGCCAGAAACAAGCACACUAAUGGAUGUGACUGUGUUCCAAUGGAACUUUAUGGACACUCAACUGAACUGUGGGCAUUCCACAAUUUAGACCAGCCCGGAACCCCUGAGUCUCCACGUGAAGAAGAGCCGUCCUGACCUCCAUCAGACUGAGAUGUGAGCAAUAAGGAAAUCUUUUUAGGCAUCACCUAUUGAGAUGAUGGGGUUGUUUGCUACCAAAGCAGAAGCCAACCUACCCUGACAAUUUCAGAAGGGAAUUGCUGCGGGGAGAGAACUCUAAGGAAGAUGCAGAUGCAAAGUUCUGAGACUGACAAAGAGCCAGUUGUAUUCUAGAGCUUGAGAGAAGCAAAUGGGGCUGGCUUAACAUGGUAAGCAAGAGAUGAGGUGAAGGAGGCAGAAAGAGACUUGAUGGUAAAGUUUGUGGCAAGCCUAUUGAUAAUUUGGGAGUUUUUCCUAUGUGAAGUCAAAAGGGGGAAUGAUAGAGUUGAGGAAGUAUUUCCACAAGGUACUGUGCGGUUAGUAUUUGGAGAGUGGGCUGAAGGGAGCAGGAGGGAUACAGGGAGACCAGUUAGGAAUUUAUCACAGUAGUCGGGGUGAAAGAUGAUAGCAGGUGCUAUGGAUACGGAAAAGAAAGGGAAGGCGUCCAGGUACAUAUCUUAGACUUCAUGGAGGAUUGAUUUCAUUGAUGAGGAUAGAAGGAAUGUCUGAAAUGACAUCAAAGUUUCUAGCAGGUGCAACUGCGUGGAUGGGAGAGAAAGGUGGCACUGUGUAAGGUGGGGGGCGGUGAACUAAAGGAAAAGCACAUCGCACACAGAAUACUGAGUUUAAUUUUGAAAGCAACCAUACUGCAAAUAAAAAUUAGUUAAGAUCAGUCCUGGGUGUUCAUUAGAAGGACUGAUGCUAAAGCUGAAACUCCAGAACUUUGGCCA